UAAUUUAGUAUUUACAUUAUUUUAUAAGUAUUAGCUACUUUUAUCUCAAGCUUGAGUAGUUAAAAAAAAAUGAUUUGAAUUAUUUUCAAUAUUUAUUUUAUUUUAAAUCUUUAAACAAGUUUUCAAACUCUUAUUCAGAUUCUUAUUUUAUCUCGCAUUCAGAGUAUUUCAUAUUCUAUAAAUCUAAAACACAAAUUCUAAUUUUUUUUUUUUUUUGGCAAAUUGAGCGUUAUCAGCUGCGUUGCGUCUGUAAAGCUACUUAUUUAUACGCCAACCAGAUAAGACGACAGUCGUAUAAUUCCAGCAGCAUCUGCAUCAUCGAAAAUUGUACAAAAAAAAAAAAAAGAAAAGAAAGAAGUAAAAGCGCGAUUUCAAUAUGAAUUACAACGGUUUACUAAUUUUAACGGUUAUCCUGUUGGCUGUCAAUGCGGAUGUGGCCAACGGUGAUCUAUGGGACAGUAUUAAGGAUACCUUUAACGAUGCUGUCGACGCAGUUAAAGAUUUGUUCUCCUAAGCUCAAGCCAAAUGAAUUGCAUUGAAGGGAAUUAAAUUGUAAAGUGAAUGUUUUGGUUAUUGAAAUAAAUCAAAUGUAAAUUUCUCGUCUU